AAUGGGUGAAUAGAUAAGAAUGCGGUUUAUAUGGGACAUUCGGCUUGUCUUCCUUGGACACUGGACUGAAAAUCGGAUACGAACUGCGUAAGACACCCGUACUCUCUUUUAUAGACGCCACGGCACCGGUGUCCUAGAGGAUACGGAUG
ensembl:ncRNA C01B12.10 ncRNA